ACGAAUAUUUGGUUUAUUUUCCGUCCGACUCUAGUCGUCCGUGGUUGCUAAGGGCUGUCACUAGGUGGCUAAAUAUUUCAGUGUGUUUAGGGAUUGAACUAUUCAGCUCUAGUGUGUUGGUUUCUACUUUCUAGAGGGAUGUAGGGGGGUGGGUCAUCAAACUGUCAAAGUGGUGAGACGACUGACGAAACACUCACUCUUUUGCUGCCGAGACGCUGUCCGAGAAGGUUGAAUUUAGUCAUUGCUGGGUACUUUCCUACGUGAAAUUUGUGAUCACAGACAUGUUUUCCUUUGAUUUAUAGGAUUCCUUGGUUAGUUUGAUGUUGGAGCUGCUAAUGGUGUUGCAGCGUUCAUGGUGUGAGCACUGAGCAGUGAUUUUGCAGUCAUUAUCCAGUCGAGAAGUCUUGAAAUGGAGCUUGUGCAGACAUUAAAUUCAACAUCUUUCUUCAAUUGUUAUUUGCCAAUGUUGGUGUUUUUGCAGUGUUGAGCUGUUGUGCAGAAUAGUCUGUUGCCUGGUGGUUGUCGGGUAUGUUUUAUCGGCUGCUUUUUGUCGAUGUGUCGUCUCGUCUCUUGCCACCUGUCACGUUACGUUGAAUCGUUCGCUGCCGUUCCGACUUGAUCCAUUGGUGAAACUGAGACGAGGUUGCAGAAAUUGAAGAUUGAUACAUUAAUUAGAUUUGGACAAAUUAAGUGCAUGCAUGUUCUCCCUUUUCCCUAAGUAAACAGUCUCGGCCGUUGGUUAUUCGUCUGGUCGAACGGGAAAUUGCCAUGCAAAUGAUCUGAUGUACCUUUGGAGAAAAAUUAUUUUGACCACGAAUUAGUUUUCCCUUAUGAUUCGCAAUCAACUCUACCUCCAUAUGUAACCGUAUUAAACCUGUUCGCUCUUCAUAUAUAUGACCAUUAUAAAAAUUACUACUUCGCUAACAAUAAAAUAUGAAAUCAAAAA